UUAAAACUGAUGUCCUAUUACAUAAAUUGCUACAAUUGUGGAAGCUCGCAUACAUGAUAGCUAUUUAUGUUCUGUAACAUGGGUGACCAUUUAGGUAUCUUUCUGCCAGUGAAGUGCACUUGAAUUGUAAUCUCCUUUGCUCGGUCUUUGGCGUCUCUGGUUGUCUGUUGAAACCUUCUGGUGUUCCUUUCCAGCCAUAUACUGUAUACUACCGCUGCAAACACCACACCUAGGAUGGAUUUUCUGGGAUUUCUGCUGUCUACAUUUGCUAUCAGCCAUUGGAUUUCU
rnacentral:lncRNA from 1 species